GGGCUUGGCUCAACCCGC
rnacentral:snRNA from 1 species